CCUGCAAUGAAAGUACAAACAUAGAAAUAAAAAACAAAAGACCAGGAAAUCUGAAAAUGUUGUAGAAUCAGGAACAUUACAAGCAGGCUUUACUUCACAAGGCCCACACAUACAUAAUAUAAACAUAAACAUAAACAUAAACACACACACGGUGAGGCUCAGGGAACGUUAUGGAAGAGGGCAUGGAAAGAAUGUAGCUGCAGAGAUGGGGAGGACAUGGCAUGGCUGCUGCGCACAUAGACUCAAGUGGCAAAGCUACCUGCUUCGUCGCUGCACAACAUCAAGCCACUUAAGACUUUAACACCGAAUUCAAAGGCGUUUCCAAGGUCCCACCCCCAGUUGAGGAACAAACUGAGAGUCACAGGAAUCCAGUUUACUUUAACGGAUUCUCAGAGAAACCUAACAUUAGUGACUAUCAACUGUCUUCACAUACUGAGUCUGCACAUAAUAGUUGUCUUCUAAGGCUAGGUUGUAUCCAUAUACACAUACUUAAAAACACCAUAAACACAAAUUCAUUCAAUAACUUAUUUGUCAUAGAAUGCUCAAGUUAAUACCCAUGUACAAUUAAAAAAAAAGCCCAAGUUUACACUUACACCAAAAUCAUAGAAAUUAGACCUCCCUAUGCCAUACAAUAUUAUACCAACAUUUAUGCUAUUCCGUACUUCAAAAACAAACAAACAAACAACCCAUUCCUCUCAGAGCAUAUCACUAAAGUGAUAUGAACUUUCAAAACAUAUUCUUCAUUCUUUUAAAACUAGCUUUGAUUUUUUUUGUCAGAGUAAUACAUAUUUUCAAAUAGUUUAUAACAUCUUUAAGUAGUAAACUAUAAGUAUAGUAGUUAAAUAGUCUCAGAUAGGUCACAGAGUUCAAACAGUACCUGCUGCUCCCAUCAGUUCAUAUUCUCAUCACCAUGGCAACACUGUCAAACCAUUUGUUCAGCUUUGGUAUUUUUUGUUUUCUUAUUAACAUGCUUACCUUCCUAGUACUUAAGUUCAAGUAAACUAUAUUGACUUUGACUGUAAGGUAAAGACACAGGUCUCAUUUCUGAACACCUAAAACCUUGUAAUAGUCUCUUUCUUCUCAACCACUCUAACAUCCGACUGUUGUAAAUUCAACUGGCAGCUGUUCUGAACUCUGGAUUAUAUGUAAGUCCCUUCAGCACUUAAAAGACAUUGGCUUCCAGAUUCUACUACUGAUUCUGACAAGUCUAUUGUCAUUAUUAUUAGUAUAAAACGUGCUUUGAUUUGCCCUUUACAAAAAUCUCUAGAGGAUGGAGAUAUGUCUCAGCAGUUAAAGCCACUGGUGAAUAAUGACCUGGGUGUGACUUCAGCACCCACAUUCUAGCUCUGAAGCAUCAAUGACAUACUUACUUCUGUGCAUGUGGUACACAGAUAUACACGCAGGCAAAACAGUCAUACACAUAAAGCAAAAAUAAAUCUUAAAAGAAAAACCAAAAAACUUAAGAUUUCUUUUUUUGGUGAGGACAGGAGGACACGCAAUGAACUCAAUUAUUCAUUUCCAGUGAAUAAUUUAAAAAUAGGUGUCUCCACUUUCUUUCAGUUUUGGUAAGUCUUUCCUCUAUCAUAUUUGUGAGUUUUCUUGUAAUCUUAUUACGGGUCUCUUCUUUUUCUGUUACUUUGCUUAUUAGACUCUAACUGAUGUUUCAACUUGAUUUGUACGUUACACAUUUAUCUUUUUAUUCUAUUUACUGGCAAAUUUCUUUACCUUUAUCAAUUGAAGCUUCCAUUGAACUACUUUUCCAGGCCUUAAAUUUAUUGAGCACUUCUUUGCUUAGUAGUUGGCUAUGCAUGUGACACCUACUCCUACCCUCUAGCAAAUUAAAAUAGUCUCUUUUCUUUAGGCAAAGUUUUCUUUUUUGAUUUUUAAAAUUUAUUAUUGUUAUUAUCAUUACGGUCUAUGUAUGUGUGUGUGCGUGUGUGUGUGUGUGUGCGUGUGUGUGUGUCACACACACACGCACACACACACACACACACACAUACAUGUGAAAGCCACUGCGUACAUAUGGAAGUCAGAACAGAAUCUGCGGGAGUUUGCUCUCUCCAGCAGCACAUGAGUCCCAGAGACGGCAGGCUGUUAGGCUUGGUAGCAGCUACCUCUGAAGUCCGCAUGUAGCAUCUUCUAUACUGAGUGUUCUAUCUCUCUUCACAUUACAAGGUUUCCCUCAGAUAUUUAAUGAGUAGGAGUCUAUAACACGGCUAAUGGGUUAUAGCAUUAAUUGAAGAUCGAUAUAAACUGUAUUGUAGCUUUGUUAAGAAACAUAGUAUUCUGGGUAGAAAGAUAAAAAAGUCCUAGUUCUCAGAAUAGGACUUCUCUGAAGAAGACAGGAGGCAUGUUUGAAACUUUACUUCAUUAGCCUCAUAAAGUUCUCAUCCAUCAUGACAUGAAAUAAAACAUUCCACACACCUGGUAUUGCCAGAAAAGAGGCCCCAGCACAGAGUAUAAGAUCUAGCUCCUGGGAGGAAGACUAGAGAUUUGCUUCUUAACUUUCGUUUUUCUUUUCCCUUUACAGUACUGGAAUCUAACCUAGAGCCUUGCAGCACAAGCGCACUACUAUUGAACUAUGUAUAUCCCCACCCCCUCUAAAAUUCUUGUUCUGAGAUAGAAUAUAAAUUGGCCAGGCAGGUCACAACAUCCAAUCCUUGUGCCUUAGCCGUCCAAGUAGAAUGGGGCUAGUAAGCCUGUGCCACAAGCCCAGCUUUAAAGUGAUUUAUCAUCUUCAGCGCAUGUCAUGGUGACACUGUCUGUUGCGCUUUCUCACCAACAGCCCUGAAUCUAGUCCUGCUGGGGUAUGAAGUCUGCACGUUUAUGAGUCAGCCCCACUAACAGCUUCAGUGACAGUCCAUGGGGACACUAAGACAUCCUCUUGCCUUGCCACCUGAGUUGCUGGGAUUGCAAGCACACAAGCAAACUGAGCUUCCAUUCUCCAUGUGUGUAAGAGACUUCCUGAGCCUCGGCGCCGUUGUGAGAUCUGCGAUGUGUUUGUGGUGCUACAGAAGGGAGGCUUAUGUUGACAGGAUAGAUAGUAUGUGAGCUUGCUACUGCAGGAAACAAGAGUUUCUACACUUCCCAGGACGGUGGAAGAAGCACCUCUGUCCUGCUCCCUUAAGAUGUUCUAGAGCCAUGCAGUGUCCCUGAAAUAAUCCUUGCACUCCAUCUAUGUGCCCGGUUGACCAUGGCAAGGGAAACCUUACUUUCUCUGAGACUGGUGGCUUGGGUGACAAGCUUUGAAAGAAGGGGCAGUCAUCACGUUUAUGUAGGGGAGCUGGGGCAUGAGUGGGGUUCACAGGAUUGUCAAUCACCAUCGGCAUACUGUGUAGACCUACACUCCCCCACCCCCACACGGUUGCCAUAGCCUCCAAGUGGGCUCACAAACGGCCCUGGAAACCCAAAUAUGCUGCAGGGUCUAGCAUCACCCAAGUCCGGGGAGUGCACGGAGCAAAUGUCUUUAUUAUGAAUAUCUGCUCAGUUGGGUUUUGUAGCUGGCACCCUCUUCCACUGGCUAGCAGGGAGGCUGAGAACAAGCGGAGUGGCUGCAGGCUGAGGCUACUGCACUGAUGAGCAACCUGAACGUAAGAGGCCUGCAGUGACUCACUGUUGUCUUGUUUUGUUGCUGCUGUUGUUGUUGUUUUGAAGAAAUUAAUAAGGAACUGUCUGGAAAUCUGAAUUUUAAACAUACUACCCAAUGACUUUAUGAUUAGGAAAGUAUGAAAAACCACAGCAAGGUUUGUAAAGAAUACCAAAAUUAUAUGAGUAAGACCAGAAAUACAUAGAAUUGAAUCAGAGUCAGACUGAAUUAAACAAAUUACUGAAAUUUUAAAUAAACAAUCAGAGUUGAAAUGGAAAGGCAAUGAAAGAAAUAUUUUCCUCAAACACAAGGAGUAGACAGGGUUUGGAAAAAGUCAUUUUUAAGCUUUAUAGAUUACCCUUGCAUUAUUUAAACUGUUAUAUUUCAUUAGAAAAAAAAAAAAAAGAGCUUUCCAACCCACACAAAACAUUAUCCCCAAACCACAGCCCAUCAUGAUGCAUAAUCAAAGUGAGUUCAAUAGUAGCAAAUUAUGUUAGGAAGUAUAUCAUGGUCACUGCGCAAAGGAUAAAAGCAACAAGAUUAUUUUUCAUAUUAGCUAAGAAGUAUUCAAUAAAAUACUAAUGAACAAAGUAAGGAUGGUCAUAAUCAGUAAUACAAUUCAAUAUUGCUGAUUAUUUUUGGCAAUUAAGGCUAGAAAAUUAAAAACACUGAAAAUAAAAAAGUAAAACACAUAUAAAGGAGAUUACUUAGAACACACAGAGUAAAUGACCAGAAAUGAGAAAUAAUACAUUAAAUAUAAUUAUAAAGCUGGGCGUGGUGGUGCACACCUUUAAUCCCAGCACUCGGGAAGCAGAGGCAGGUGGAUUUCUGAGUUCGAGACCAGCCUGGUCCACAGAGUGAGUUCCAGGGCAGCCAGGGCUAUACAGAGAAACCCUAUCUCGAAAAACCAAAUACAUAUACAUAUACAUAUACAUAUACAUAUACAUAUACAUAUACAUAUACAUAUACAUAUACAUAUACAUAUACAUACAUACAUACAUACAUACAUAUUGGCAGAAUGAAGGACCUUAAGUUCAGCCAACAUCAUAAUGAAGUUCUAUCAGAAAGCAGAAUAUUAAGAGUUGGUGUUUAUCUUAGUUAGGGUUUUACUGCUGUGAACAGACACCAUGACCAAGGCAAGUCUUAUAAAAACAACAUUUAAUUGGGGCUGGCUUACAGGUUCAGAGGUUCAGAUCAUUAUCAUCAAGGUGGGAGCAUGGCAGUAUCCAGGCAGGCACGGCACAGGCAGAGCUGAGAGUUCUACGUCUUCAUCCAAAGGCUGCUAGUGGAAGACUGACUUCCAGACAACUAGGGUGAGGAUCUUAUGCCCACACUCACAGUGUCACACCUACUCCAACCAGGUCACACCUAUUCCAACAAGGCCACACCUCCAAAUGGUGCCACUCCCUGGUCUGAGGAUACACAAACCCUCACAGUGUUUGUUUUUGAUGUUGACUUGCUUGUCUUUACUCCAGGCAGAUCUGGGAAUUGCAAUCCCACCAAGCGUUUGGGAUUAUAGGCAUGGACCAACAUGGUAAAUACUAAGGUUUUAUAGAAAUAAAAUUACUUAGGUAUAGAUAAAAAUGCCUUUAGGUGAAAAGGUUAGAAAACGUAACUGCUUAAACAGAAAUGCUUGUACCAAUGAAGAACAAUUGUCAUUCCUUCUUGGUAGAAAUGCACAGCAGAGCUAAGACAGAAAAUGACUGGGCUGCUUUCUAUCAAACCAUCAUACAUUCUACUGAUCUCGUCUCAACCCAAACGAGUUCAAAACUUAUGACCACACUGAAAGCCUGAACAAAAUGUGAAUUGAAUCUUUAUUCCUAAUUGCUUACAAUUCAAGAGACUCUAGUACAGCAUUGAAAUGACAAUAUGCACUUCUCAGAACCCACAUAACUAGUAUGCCACAAGAAAUGAAAUUUAAUUAAAUUGUACAUUUCUGUACAGUGUUUCUAUCUGAUACUGCUUUCAAAGUGAUACUGUUCUAUAGUUUCUGGUUAUAUAUGUGACAACUCAUUGUCACUCUUCAUUAUUAAAUUAGUUUGAUAUAUGUGUGUGUGUGUGUGUGUGUGUGUGUGUGUGUGUGAACAUUUUGGUCACAACAAUUUACUCAUAAUGGUUUGCUGGCUGUAACAAGUACCCCAUGCCACUGGAAAGCUCUAAAUACAGUAGGAGGAACACAUAUAUGAGAAUUUUAUAGUAUCUACCUCAGCUCAGUUCAGACCCUUAAGUUCUAGACUGAGGAAAUCCUCCUAGUUGUCCUUAUCCAAGUAGCUAGGUCUCCAGGCAUGUCAUACCUGCCUCCAGUUUGAUUUGUCUUUAUAAACAUUAUCUUUAUUUAUCCACUAAGAUUUUCAGGUAACAAUCCUUUCAAAUAAAUUAGAAAAAAGGUAGAAAUACUAAUAUAUUUGAAUUCCACAUGUUAUGACUUUGUUAUGGUUUGAAUACAUAUAUAGAACAUUUUUUUCUUUAGAUAGAAGUAUUUAGGCCAUUAGAACUGCUGCCUUUAAGUAACUUCAAUAUAAAACGUUCAGCAAAAUUACUAUCCUUUUUGUUAUAUGGGAGAAUAUCUGAUAAAUGCAUAACAAUAUGUACAUAAAUUUCCCUUCUAUAACUGGAAAAUAUGAAUAUUAGGAAAUCUAAUACUUAUAAACAUGUCUUAGCUCUCAAAUUGAAAUCAUAGGAGCUAGAAUCUCUUCUGGGACUUGGUGAAUACAGAGAUUUAAAUGGUUUGGCAACUGACACAGGAACUUAAUGACUUAUAUUAUCUAAGGUGGCAUCUUUCUGUUUCCAAAAUGUAAGUAACAGGCCAUUACAGCACAUACACUGGACCCUCUCACAGACACUACCACACUCUAUGCACUGAAAGCAAAUGUCUUAUGUUGAAGUUAUUUCAAUGGAUUUCAACGAUAUGCCCAUGACGUGUUAGAAAAAAAUAGGAGGAAUUGUUUUUUUCAAAAAGGUUAAGUACCAAAGGCAGGUAGUUUAGUCUACAGAAAUAAGUUAGUCACUUUUGGCUUUUCUAAUUUGUACUGUAACAUUCUUUUAUUUUGUUUUAAAUAUAUGUGUCUCAAGUAAACAAUUUAGGUAAUUUUCCAUACCUUUUCCUUUCUGAUGCAGACUUCUGGUUAAUUAAUAUUUUACUGCAUUUGAUGAUGUAUUAUAUGUUUGAAGCCUAGUGACUUUUAAUUUUGAUGUUCUUGUGAUUUCAUAUGCUGCAUUUUUCAAGCAAUAAAAUUCUGAUGUGUUUAAGAAAAAACUGCUGCCUUUGGAAGGACUGAGGUAGUUCUCACAGGACAGCACGUCAGUUCCUAAGAGAGUGCGCGAUUAUAGACCAUGAAAUCUUACUCCCAGUUGUUGUGACAUCUUGUCCCACUGCAUGCCCUUUGUCUUUGAUAUGUGCCCCACCCAUGCUAACAUCCAGCAGGAGGUCCUCAACACAGGUCCGAAGGAACUGGAUGAUUGUGAACCCCAAGACUACAAAGUCCUGAACUAAAGUCAUAAACUAAAUCUCUCUCUAAGCAUUCUUUUCUUUCUUCCUCCCCAAAGCCCCUUGGCAGGAUGCCUACUAUGUAUAGCCAUGCUGGCCUAGAAUUUACUACAUAGACAAGGCUGGCCUUGAACUAACUGGGGCAGCCUGCCUCUGCCUCCUGAGUGCUAGAAUUAAAAUAUCUCUUUUUUUCAUAAGUUAUACAGUCUUGAAUAUUUUGUUCUUUGAACAUAAAUAAAUCAUGAUACCAUUUUACUACUUUUAAAAACCAACAGAUGAAAAAUGUUUAUUUUCCUGUGUGAUUUCCUUACCGGUGAGCCAUUUUAGAGUGGGUAUGGCUAUAAAAAUAAAGACUGUGAGGCCGCUCUGUAUGAAUGACCCAGCUCUGUAUCUGAUAUAGUGGUAGUUGGAUGAGCCACACUUCUGAAGAAAUUAUGCACUCAAGCACAAAGCAAGUAGGCCAAACUGCUUACAGUGGCAAGCUCUGAGUUUGUAUCAAGGCCAGUUUCCUGACUAGUAACUUACUAUAGUUUCAUGUGGGCUUAACACCGGUACAGGCCAGUACUCAGGAAUUCCCAUACAUUUCUCUCAAGUUUUCCCAGUACUUACAAAUCUCAAUAAGUGAAAAAAGUAUAACAUAGCUACAGAAUCCAUUUGUCUGAUCCAUAUCACACUUAUCUGUUAUUAAAAAGUAAUUAUUCAUUAGAAAAAGUCACUUCAUAAAGAGAAUUAAAGUAGAAAAAAGUAUAGUAUUUUUCUUAAAUACCACUGUCCAAGAACUAUGAUAGAUAUUUUUUGAUUUAUUAUCUCAUUUAACCUUUACAAAUGUUAUAAGGUAAUUAAUUAAGAAUACCGCCCCCCCUUUUAUAUAGAGAGAUGCUAACUCUGAUACUUUUGUCAUGUUAGCAGGUUGUCUACGCUUUUCAGUCUAUUCUGCACUGUCUCAUCUUCUCAAUGUAAUUUAUAAUAAAUAUUUAUGGCAACUGAA